GUACCCUUUCCGCCCAGGCUUUUGCGGACUAAUAGGGCUGACUCCGAAGAGUUGUUUCUUAACCCUGCCGUGCUUAUCGUAGGGGUAAAGGGGCUAUUUGGACACACAUAUUUGUGUGUGUCCAAUUCGUGCGCUGCAGCAAUAUGGCCCUUUAAUCGCAUCUGGCGGUUUCUCGGCAAGGUUCAAAUGCUGUAGCGCUGAAAAAUCCGGGAUAAAAAAGAGCGACACCCUCCCUCCCCCAUUAAUUAUUUGUGGGGCUGGAGUAUCGCAGGCUGGUGCAACCGGUGCAUAUAAGGACUUGAGUGCAAGGAAAGGGACCCGCCUCCAGCCGCGGAACGAAUGGGGGAGAACGCGCGCUCGCACGGUGCGUCCAGCCCCGCGCCUCGGCAAUUUGCCCCGGCGGCUGGGUGGGGUCUGCCAGCUGCUCCCCUUGCUCCGGGAUGGCGGGUCCCUCUCUGCUUCGGGGCUGGGAAGGUUUGCCAGAAGCGGGAGAGCUGGGAGUCUGAGCUCCUCUUCGCUUCGCCACACCCAGGACCUGCCGGUGCCGCAAUUCCCCCAAGGAAACAACCGAAUUGAAACAAGAGGCUUGUUUUCCAGGCAACUUUACCGCGGCUGACCUCCCCAGAUUGAUGGAGAAAGUUUGGCUGUCGGAUAAGAUGUAACACACGAGGUGUACAACCAGAGAGCGGUUCCACUCCACCUGCUUUCUCAUUUAAAGGCUGAAUGUUUACAGUGUUAACAGAUUUUUGAGGCUGUUACUCAGCUUUUUCUGCCCACUAGUAGACAAAAGGUGAGUAGGUAUCUGAAAUCCGAACAGGAGAAGUGUCCCUCACAGAAACCUGGAACUUCAGAAGAAUGGCAACAACCCUGAGAAUGGUUAGCAGUUAUGGUGCUACCCUACCCAUAAGGUCCAUACCCUACCCUAAAGCCCAUUCCUCCUUCCUGUUACUCAGACGUUGCUUUGUGUCCUGUUCAUUUCCAAGCUUGGCUCUCUGUGCUAAUUAUCCAUUGUUGUGUAACAAACCACCUGAAAACUCAGUGAGUAAAAAACAUUUUUUCAUUCACAAGUCUGUAAUUUGGGCAGGGUUUGCUAGGGGAGGCUCAUUUGCACUAUGUAGCAUAAGCUGAGGCUGGAGGGCCCACAUCCAAAGUGACUCGCUCAUGCACGGAGCAAGUUUGGUGCUGGGCUAUUCGCUGAGUACUCAGCCAAGGCUGAUGGCUGGGAGCUUUGGUUCCUCUCCAGGCUGGUCUCUUCAUAGGCCAUUGGGGUUCAUCACGGCAUUGUGGCUGAGUUCCAAGAACAAGUAUCCCAUGAGAACCAGACAGAAGCUGUAUCACCUUUUCUGACCGAGCCUCAAAAGUCAUGUGACUUCAGUUCCACCACUGUCACAAAUAUACACAGAUUCAAGGGGAAGAUACAGACAUCCCACCUUUCGAUGGGAGGAAUAUCUAAGUCACAUUGAAGAAGAGCAUGUGGGAUGGAAGAUACUGUUGCAGUA